GGAAAGAUGCUCGAGUGGUUGAAGAGGCACGCCUGGAAAGCGUGUAUACCCCUAAAGGGUAUCGGGGGUUCGAAUCCCCCUCUUUCCGCGA
rnacentral:tRNA from 1 species